AGUGAACGCUGGCGGUAGGCCUAACACAUGCAAGUCGAACGGCAGCACAGUAAGAGCUUGCUCUUACGGGUGGCGAGUGGCGGACGGGUGAGGAAUACAUCGGAAUCUACUUUUUCGUGGGGGAUAACGUAGGGAAACUUACGCUAAUACCGCAUACGACCUACGGGUGAAAGCAGGGGAUCUUCGGACCUUGCGCGAUUGAAUGAGCCGAUGUCGGAUUAGCUAGUUGGCGGGGUAAAGGCCCACCAAGGCGACGAUCCGUAGCUGGUCUGAGAGGAUGACCAGCCACACUGGAACUGAGACACGUUCCAGACUCCUACGGGAGGCCGCAGUGGGGAAUAUUGGACAAUGGGCGCAAGCCUGAUCCAGCCAUACCGCGUGGGUGAAGAAGGCCUUCGGGUUUUAAAGCCCUUUUGUUGGGAAAGAAAAGCAGCAGGUUAAUACCCCGCUGUUCUGACGGUACCCAAAGAAUAAGCACCGGCUAACUUCGUG
rnacentral:rRNA from 1 species